rnacentral:pre_miRNA from 7 species
AUUUAUUCCCCUCUGCUGCAGGAGGAAGUGAAAGACCCCUGAAGGGAGACCCUCACUCAAGCCUCGGGACAGCCGCGGACCCAAGAAGACACUGAGACCA